AUUGAACGCUGGCGGCAUGCCUUACACAUGCAAGUCGAACGGUAACAGGUUAAGCUGACGAGUGGCGAACGGGCGAGUAAUGUAUCGGAACGUGCCCAGUCGUGGGGGAUAACUGCUCGAAAGAGCAGCUAAUACCGCAUACGACCUGAGGGUGAAAGCGGGGGAUCGCAAGACCUCGCGCGAUUGGAGCGGCCGUGAUCAGAUUAGGUAGUUGGUGAGGUAAAGGCUCACCAAGCCGACGAUCUGUAGCUGGUCUGAGAGGACGACCAGCCACACUGGGACUGAGACACGGCCCAGACUCCUACGGGAGGCAGCAGUGGGGAAUUUUGGACAAUGGGCGCAAGCCUGAUCCAGCCAUGCCGCGUGCGGGAAGAAGGCCUUCGGGUUGUAAACCGCUUUUGUCAGGGAAGAAAAGGUUCUGGCUAAUACCUGGGCCUCAUGACGGUACCUGAAGAAUAAGCACCGGCUAACUACGUG
rnacentral:rRNA from 1 species